rnacentral:tRNA from 1 species
CCUCGAUAGCUCAACGGCAGAACGGCGGACUGUUAAUCCGCUGGACAUGGGUUCAGUACCCAGGUCGAGCA